AUAUAUAUAUAUAUAUAUAUACGUAUGUGUGUGUGUAUGUAGUGUAAUAUCAAAAAAACAUUAAAAAGAUAAAACAAUAAAACGCCGAAAGGACAAAGUUUGAUGAAUACGUUAUUAGUUUAACACUUGAGAAGCUGGAAUGAAAGCAUCUUAACGUUUCGGAUAUUUGUCCUUCUACUGAGAGGUAAAAAUAGGCAGAGAGAAACACAACGGGAUAAAUAGUGGAUGUGCAGAGAGAGAGAGAGAGAACUAGUGAAUGUAUAAAAAGAAACAGUACACUACCAUAUACAUUUAUACAUACAUGCAUACAUAUACGUAUAUAUAUGUAUAGAGAGAAAGACUAAGAGAGAAAGAGAGAGAGUUGUGCUUCUCUUCUCUGCAUAUUCUGUGUUUAUUUUGCCCUUUAUCCUUUCGGGGUCGAUUAAAUAAAGUACUCGGACUGAUGAUAUCGAUUAAAUUC